rnacentral:rRNA from 1 species
AUUGAACGCUGGCGGAGUGCUUUACACAUGCAAGUCGGGCGGCAGCGCGGGGGCAACCCUGGCGGCGAGCGGCGAACGGGUGAGUAACACAUCGGAACGUACCCUGUCGUGGGGGAUAACGAAUCGAAAGAUUCGCUAAUACCGCAUACGACCUGAGGGUGAAAGCGGGGGAUCGCAAGACCUCGCGCGAGAGGAGCGGCCGAUGGCGGAUUAGCUAGUUGGUGGGGUAAAGGCCCACCAAGGCGACGAUCCGUAGCGGGUCUGAGAGGACGGCCCGCCACACUGGGACUGAGACAGGCCCAGACUCCUACGGGAGGCAGCAGUGGGGGAAUUUUUGGACAAUGGGGGCAACCCCUGAUCCAGCCAUUCCGCGUGAGUGAAGAAGGCCU